rnacentral:tRNA from 1 species
GGAUAAGAAGAGGGCCAAGAGCUGCUAACUCUCCGGCCGGGUAGUUAGAUUCUACUCAUUAUCUA